CGGUUGAUCCUACCGGACCCGACCGCUAUUUGGGUGAGAAUAUGCCAUGCGAGCCGUAUGGGAUAGAGGAAUAUCCCAUGGCAAACUGCUCAUUAACACAUGAUCAACUUACCCUAUAGAGAAAAAUAACCUCGGGAAACUGAGGAUAAUUUUUCGUAGUUGAAUAGGCUUGGAAAAGUUAUUCAACAAAAGAGAUAAAAAAAAUGGUUUUUAUCUGCUAUAGGAUAGGAUCGUGUUCGAUUAUGGUUGUUGGUGAGGUAACGGCUCACCAAGCCGAUAAUCGAUAGGGGCCGUGAGAGCGGGAGCCCCGAGAUGGGUACUGAGACAACGACCCAGGCCUUACGAGGCGCAGCAGGCGCGAAACCUCCACAAUACACGAAAGUGUGAUGGGGUUACCCAAAGUGUUCAAUUCUGAACUGUGGUAGGUGAGUAAUGUUCCCUACUAGAAAGGAGAGGGCAAGGCUGGUGCCAGCCGCCGCGGUAAAACCAGCUCUUCAAGUGGUCGGGAUAAUUAUUGGGCUUAAAGUGUCCGUAGCCGGUUUAGUAAGUUCCUGGUAAAAUCGGGUAGCCUAACUAUCCGUGUGCUAGGAAUACUGCUAUACUAGAGGGCGGGAGAGGUCUGAGGUACUACAGGGGUAGGGGUGAAAUCUUAUAAUCCUUGUAGGACCACCAGUGGCGAAGGCGUCAGACUGGAACGCGCCUGACGGUGAGGGACGAAAGCCAGGGGAGCGAACCGGAUUAGAUACCCGGGUAGUCCUGGCUGUAAACGAUGCAUACUAGGUGAUGGUACGGCCAUGAGCCGUAUCAGUGCCGUAGGGAAACCGUUAAGUGUGCCGCCUGGGAAGUACGGUCGCAAGGCUAAAACUUAAAGGAAUUGGCGGGGGAGCAC
rnacentral:rRNA from 1 species